GUCCACGCCGUAAACGAUGGAUACUAGCUGUUGGGCGCAAGUUCAGUGGCUAAGCGAAAGUGAUAAGUAUCCCACCUGGGGAGUACGUUCGCAAGAAUGAAACUCAAAGGAAUUGACGGGGGCCCGCACAAGCGGUGGAGCAUGUGGUUUAAUUCGAUGAUACGCGAGGAACCUUACCAAGGCUUAAAUGUAGAUUGACAGGACUGGAAACAGUUUUUUCUUAGGACAAUUUACAAGGUGCUGCAUGGUUGUCGU
rnacentral:rRNA from 1 species